rnacentral:lncRNA from 1 species
CCUCCUACUUUCCCCUCCUUUCCUCUCACAUCAUACUCAUACACUCGACUCAUUCGUUCACUUCCAUCCACCAUUUUAUAUCUCUUUUUCCUUUCUUUUUAUAUAUACUUGCUCGUUUCCUCUCAAACUUAUCUCUGUCUCUCACUCUCUCUCUCUCUCUCUCUCUCUCUGUCUCUCUCUCUUUCUCUCUCGUUCUCCACAUCAUGAUAGGACAUGCGCUAAACAUGGCGGAUGGUAUAAAAGGCUCCGCUUCCUACGGAAUGCGACCAGUCUAAAUCGUGUCUGCUUGCAGUGUUAUUGUAUCAUCCACCAUUUUUAAGUGCUCAUAUUUUUCGAGUGUUAUUAUACUCCUGUUAACCUUACUCAUUUUAUUUUUUUAAUCUUUUUCUUCUACUUCUUAUUCUUCUUUGUGUGCUGUUUCCUCAAAGGAUCAACACGAAGUUGAAAUUUAUUGAAGAGAAAGAGAAAAAAAAAAGAUAUUCGAGAAGCACAACGAACGGAGAGAAAAAAAGUAUUUAUCAUCUUCGGUGUGAAAAUAAAAAAUAAAAAAGAGAGAAAGAUAAAGAUAGAAAAAGUGGUGUCCUAUGCGUUUGUUUGAGAUAAAGGGAAAAACAUUGGAAGGAAACGUUGAGAGAAGAGGAAGAGGAGGAGGAGGAGGAGGCGGGCAUAUAUGAAAACUUACCACGAGGAUAAUCGUGAAUAUUUUAGGGUUACCUCGAUCAUCAUCGUCAUGAAGUAAAAUAACCGAAGGGAAGGACUACCAAAUAUUUAUUUCCUCUUAUCGAGGAAAGAGACGAGAGAAAAAUACGCCGGCCAAGAGGCGCGGCAACGAAUUCAGCCCCAAGCGACCGAACUGAGUCCUCAGUGUAGGCUAGUCGGCUCGCUCAAGGUGCUACUAUAGUUUUCCAAAGGCUUACCUUCCCUGAUUCUAACGAAAAAAAACGAAAAAUAUUAAAUAACUACGAGAUUAAUACAACAGGAACAACGAAA